rnacentral:rRNA from 1 species
UACGUAGGGCGCAAGCGUUGUCCGGAAUUAUUGGGCGUAAAGAGCUUGUAGGCGGUUUGUCGCGUCUGCUGUGAAAAUCCGGGGCUCAACCCCGGACUUGCAGUGGGUACGGGCAGGCUAGAGUGUGGUAGGGGAGACUGGAAUUCCUGGUGUAGCGGUGAAAUGCGCAGAUAUCAGGAGGAACACCGAUGGCGAAGGCAGGUCUCUGGGCCACUACUGACGCUGAGAAGCGAAAGCAUGGGGAGCGAACAGG